AACGAACGCUAGCGGCGUGCCUAACACAUGCAAGUCGAACGAGAAAGCCACUUCGGUGGUUAGUAGAGUGGCGAACGGGUGAGUAACACGUGGAUAACCUACCUCAGUAUUUGGGAUAACUCAGAGAAAUCUGGGCUAAUACCGGAUAAGACCACGGUAUGAGAAACAGUGGUAAAAGCAGGGGACUUCUUCGGAGGCCUUGCGUAUUGAGAUGGGUCCGCGGUCCAUCAGGUAGUUGGUAGGGUAACGGCCUACCAAGCCUAAGACGGAUAGCAGGUCUGAGAGGAUGAUCUGCCACACUGGAACUGAGACACGGUCCAGACUCCUACGGGAGGCAGCAGUGGGGAAUAUUGCGCAAUGGGGAAACCCUGACGCAGCAACGCCGCGUGAGCGAUGAAGGUCUUCGGAUUGUAAAGCUCUGUCAAUGGUCAAGAUUGGAGUUUAGGAUAAUACCCUAAAUUUUUGACGGUAACCAUAAAGGAAGCACCGGCUAACUCUGUGCCAGCAGCCGCGGUAAUACAGAGGGUGCAAGCGUUGUUCGGAAUUAUUGGGCGUAAAGCGCGCGUAGGCGGUUUGUUAAGUUUGAUGUGAAAGCCCUGGGCUUAACCCGGGAAGUGCAUCGAAAACUGGCAAACUUGAGUACUGGAGAGGGUGGCGGAAUUCCUGGUGUAGAAGUGAAAUUCGUAGAUAUCAGGAGGAACCCCGGCGGCGAAGGCGGCCACCUGGACAUGUACUGACGCUGAGGUGCGAAAGUGUGGGGAGCAAACAGGAUUAGAUACCCUGGUAGUCCACACCGUAAACGAUGGAUACUAGGUAACGCGGAUAUAAACCUUCGCGUCGCCGUCGCUAACGCAUUAAGUAUCCCGCCUGGGAAGUACGGCCGCAAGGCUAAAACUCAAAGGAAUUGACGG
rnacentral:rRNA from 1 species